UGAACGCUGGCGGCGUGCCUACUACAUGCAAGUCGAGCGAACAGACGAGGAGCUUGCUCCUCUGACGUUAGCGGCGGACGGGUGAGUAACACGUGGAUAACCUACCUAUAAGAAUGGGAUAACUUCGGGAAACCGGAGCUAAUACCGGAUAAUAUAUUGAACCGCAUGGUUCAAUAGUGAAAGACGGUUUUGCUGUCACUUAUAGAUGGAUCCGCGCCGCAUUAGCUAGUUGGUAAGGUAACGGCUUACCAAGGCAACGAUGCGUAGCCGACCUGAGAGGGUGAUCGGCCACACUGGAACUGAGACACGGUCCAGACUCCUACGGGAGGCAGCAGUAGGGAAUCUUCCGCAAUGGGCGAAAGCCUGACGGAGCAACGCCGCGUGAGUGAUGAAGGUCUUCGGAUCGUAAAACUCUGUUAUUAGGGAAGAACAAAUGUGUAAGUAACUAUGCACGUCUUGACGGUACCUAAUCAGAAAGCCACGGCUAACUACGUG
rnacentral:rRNA from 1 species